rnacentral:rRNA from 1 species
AUGGCGGAGGAACCGUCCGCCAAGCGUCAUCAUGCCGAGACGUCGGACAAGAGGAGCAACCUCGUCGACAUUAACGUCCCCGGCGAGAAGCGCGAGUACACAACAACCCUCAAAGGGGUUGAGCUCCACGGCAACGAGACGCUGGAGAUCGUCUGCACCAGCGUACCAGAAAAGGCCGAAGAGGUGAUCUCCAGGCUUUGGAGGAUGCUUGGCGGCAGGUUUCGUAGGAUCGUCGGCGUUGGUGUGCACUACACCAACAAAGAUGAACCUCCCCAGAAGGCAGCAGUCCUGCAGUUGUGCAUCGACGAACUCUGCUUGGUGUAUCACAUCGCAGCGGCCACAAAAUGGUGA